GACGAACGCUGGCGGCGUGCUUAACACAUGCAAGUCGAGCGGUAAGGCCCUUUCGGGGGUACGACGAGCGGCGAACGGGUGAGUAACACGUGGGUGACCUGCCCUCAGCUCUGGGAUAAGCCUGGGAAACCGGGUCUAAUACCGGAUAUGACUCCAUGACGCAUGUUGUGGGGUGGAAAGCCUUGUGCGGCUGAGGAUGGGCCCGCGGCCUAUCAGCUUGUUGGUGGGGUGAUGGCCUACCAAGGCGACGACGGGUAGCCGGCCUGAGAGGGCGACCGGCCACACUGGGACUGAGACACGGCCCAGACUCCUACGGGAGGCAGCAGUGGGGAAUCUUGCGCAAUGGGCGAAAGCCUGACGCAGCGACGCCGCGUG
rnacentral:rRNA from 1 species